AGAGUUUGAUCAUGGCUCAGAAUCAACGCUGGCGGCGUGCCUAAUACAUGCAAGUCGAACGCGAAAGUCCCGCAAGGGAUCAGUAGAGUGGCAAACGGGUGAGUAACGCGUGGGUGACCUGCCUUCGAGUGGGGGAUAACGUUCCGAAAGGGACGCUAAUACCGCAUGACAUCCUGUUUUUGAAGAGAUGGAGAUCAAAGCUGGGGAUCGCAAGACCUAGCGCUCGAAGAGGGGCCCGCGUCCGAUUAGCUAGUUGGUGAGGUAACGGCUCACCAAGGCAACGAUCGGUAGCCGGCCUGAGAGGGCGGACGGCCACACUGGGACUGAGACACGGCCCAGACUCCUACGGGAGGCAGCAGUAGGGAAUUGUUCGCAAUGGGCGCAAGCCUGACGACGCAACGCCGCGUGGAGGAUGAAGAUCUUCGGGUCGUAAACUCCUUUCGAUCGAGACGAACGGCCUCCGGGUAAACAAUCCGGAGGAGUGACGGUACCGAGAGAAGAAGCCCCGGCUAACUCCGUGCCAGCAGCGGCGGUAAUUC
rnacentral:rRNA from 1 species